GAAGGCCUGUGAUGGAUAAACGUUUUGCCUACAUUGUCUGAUUCUUUACAGUGAAGAGACACGUAUAGAUUUCUGAGGCCUUU